rnacentral:tRNA from 1 species
CAGAGAAUAGUUUAAUAAAAAUUUUAAUUUUGGAGAUUAAAGAUAGAAUAAAAUAUUUUUUCCCUGA